rnacentral:rRNA from 1 species
AUGGAGCGGCGGAGGAUGCUCGCCGACCUCCUCCGGGCGAGCGCGAGGGGCCCGGACCUCCGCGGCGGCGCGCAGCUCCACGGCUCGCUCACCAAGCUCGGCUUCGGGUCGGACACCAUGCUGGGCAACAACCUCAUCGACAUGUACGCCAAGUGCGGGAAACUCGACACGGCCGGCCAGGUGUUCGGCGGAAUGCCCGAGAGGAACGUGGUGUCGUGGACGGCCCUCAUGGUGGGCUUCCUGCAGCAGGGGCGCGCCGGGGAGUGCCUCCGGCUGUUCGGGGCGAUGCGGCGGCUCUCGGAGGUCCCGCCGAACGAGUUCACGCUCUCGGCCACCCUCAAGGCGUGCGGCGUCGUCGGCGACACGGGCGCGGCCGUCCGGGUCCACGGGGCCUGCGUCAGGAUGGGGUUCGAGGGGCACGGCGUCGUCGCCAACUCGCUGGUGCUCGUGUACUCCAAGGGCAGGAGGAUCGGCGAUGCGCGGCAGGUGUUUGAUGGCGCUGCUGCGUUCAGGGACCUCGUCACCUGGAACGCCAUGAUCUCUGGCUACGCGCAUGCCGGGCGUGGCAGGGACUCGCUGCUCGUCUUCCGGGAGAUGCAGCGGCGAGGAGAUGAGGAUUGUCAGCCCGAUGAGUUCACCUUCGCCAGCUUGCUGAAAGCCUGCAGCGGGCUAGGCGCGGCUCGAGAGGGCAUGCAGGCUCACGCGGCCAUGGUGACCAGAGGGGUCUCCACGGCAUCCAGUGCCAUCCUCGCCGGCGCGCUGCUUGAUGUGUAUUUCAAAUGCCGGUGCCUGCCGGCGGCAAUGCAGGUGUUCGAUCGGUUGGAAAGGAAGAAUGCCAUCCAGUGGACGACGGUGAUCGUCGGUCACGCACAGGAGGGGCAGGUGAAGGAAGCAUUGGAGCUGUUCCGGCGGUUCUGGAGCUCUGGCGUCCGUGCUGAUGGACAUGUCCUCUCCAGCAUCGUUGGCGUGUUUGCAGACUUUGCUCUUGUCGAGCAGGGGAGACAAGUGCACUGCUACACAGUCAAGAACCCGGCCGGGCUCGACGUGUCAGUGUCCAACUCCCUGGUCGACAUGUACCACAAGUGUGGGUUGACCGACGAGGCGGAACAGCGGUUCUGGGAGACGCCAAUGAGGAACGUCGUGUCAUGGACAGCGAUGAUCAAUGGCCUCGGGAAGCACGGCAAUGGCCGAGAGGCCAUUGACAUGUUCGAGAAAAUGCAAAUGGAAGGCGUCGAGCCUGACGAGGUGAGCUACCUGGCCCUCCUGUCGGCGUGCAGCCACUCUGGCCUUGUUGAGGAGUGUCGCCGGUAUUUCUCGAUGAUCCGUCAGGACAAGCGGCUGAGGCCGAGGGCUGAGCACUAUGCGUGCAUGGUAGACCUCCUCGGCCGCGCCGGGGAGCUCACGGAGGCCAGGGACCUUGUUGCGACGAUGCCGAUGGAGCCCACCGUCGGCAUGUGGCAGACUCUGCUGAGCGCCUGCAGGGUGCACAAGGACGUCACCACAGCCAGGGAGGCGGGCGAGGCCCUCCUGGCCAUGGACGGCGACAACCCGGCUAACUACGUGAUGCUGUCGAACAUCUUCGCCGAGGCUGGCGAGUGGCGAGAGCACCAGCAGGUGCGCGACGCCAUGCGGCGCCGGGGCCUGCGGAAGCAGGGUGGGUGCAGCUGGGUGGAGGUCGGCAAGGAGGCGCACUUCUUCUACGGUGGCGGCGACACCACCCACCCACGCGCCACCGACAUCCGCCGCGUGCUCCGCGACGUGGAGAGCCGGAUGAGGGAGCAGCUCGGGUACAGUGCUGGGUCGUCGGCGCAUGCGGUGGCUCUGCACGACGUGGACGAGGAGUCGCGCGCCGAGGGACUGCGGGCGCACAGCGAGCGGCUGGCUGUGGGGCUGUGGCUGCUACACCACGGUGAGCACCACCAUGGCGAUGGGGAGGAAGAGGAGGGGGGGAGGAGGGAGGUGAUGAGAGUGUACAAGAACCUUCGGGUGUGUGGCGACUGCCACGAGUUCUUCAAGGGGCUGUCGCGGGUGGUGGGGAGGGCGAUGGUGGUCAGGGACGCCAACCGGUUCCACAGGUUCCAGGACGGCGCCUGCUCAUGCAAAGACUACUGGUGA